GGGCUCGUGGCUUAAUUGGGUAGAGCAUCGGUCUUGCACACCGACGGUUGCAGGUUCAAGUCCUGUCGAGUCCA
rnacentral:tRNA from 1 species